rnacentral:rRNA from 1 species
GAAUAUUGCACAAUGGGUGGAACCCUGAUCCAGCCAUGCCGCGUGUUUGAAGAAGGCCUUUUGGUUGUAAAGCACUUUAAGCGAGGAGGAGGCUACUCUAGUUAAUACCUAGCGACAGUGGACGUGACCCACAGGAGAAGCACCGAACAACGAUGGGCAAGCAGCCGCGGGAAUACAGAGGGUGCAAGCGUUAAGCGGAUGUACGGGGAGUAAAGCGAGAGUAGGUGGCCAAUUAAGGCAAAUGUGAAAUACAAGAGGUUAACUUGGGAAUUGCAUGCGAUAAUGGUUGGCUAGAGUAGGGGAGAGGAUGGUAGAAUUACAGGGGUAGCGGUGAAAUGCGUAGAGAGCUGGAGGAAUACCGAUGGCGAAGGCAGCCAUCUGGCCUAAUACUGACACUGAGGUGCGAAAGCAUGGGGAGCAAACA